rnacentral:lncRNA from 1 species
AGAGCAUCGAGGCAUGUCAUGGAAAUAAGAAUCUUAGUCAAGCCAUGUGUUUGAAAUUUGGCUGCUGCUAUUUCCAAGGAGAAAAUGAUAAGAUAACAUGCCACACUCCUUUAGUAGAUGUCAUUCAGCUGACCCUUCGCUUGUUUAUCUUUGGGAUUGUCUGCUUGAUUCUACUGGCCUGCAUUCCUGUCUGUUGCUGCGUCAGUUGCCAAGAAAGCAAGCUCACUAACAAAUUACGAGGCAACUCGGAGGUCACCAAGAUCCUGCUUAGUCAGAAUGACACCCUGGAAAACAUCGAUGAUGUGAUCGAGAGCUUAAUACCGAAAGAUGAAAAGAGAAAGAUGAAGAAGAAAAAGAAGAAAAAGGGUAAUCAUUUCAUCACUGAUCACCUUAAAAAAGAAAUGAUGUUGCCUUCUGAAAUGCAGAGAAUCAAAGGGAAGUGGCCACUUGGCCUUGCUCACUGGGGCCACUGGCAACCUGGGAAUGUUAGCAGAGGCAAAAAAGAGCCCAUGGGAUUGCAGGCAGG